rnacentral:rRNA from 1 species
GCUCGUGGAUCGAUGAAGACCACAGGUAAAUGCGCGUUAGAAAGUGAACUGCAGGACACAUGAACACCGAAAAGUUGAACGCAUAUUGUACACCGUACAACAGUACGAUGUACACAUUUUUGAGUGCCUAUAUUUAUCCAUUCAACUGUAGGUGCGUGCGCGUCCCACCACAGCGCUGGCGCGAGGACAGUCGCACCACGUAUGCGCAGUGACGUUUUCCUGGCCCUCAGUAAAACGUUGAAGAUAAUCAGACCCCACCCGGGUGCGGUUGAUGAAUACAUCCCCUAGACCAACGCGCUUGGUUAUGUUGUAUUUCAUCGGCAGGCCAGCCGGCCACCGCCACCCAGUAGGCCUCAAAUAAUGUGUGACUACCCCCUAAAUUUAAGC